CACAAAUCGAUCCAGUUGUUUCCAGUUAUGUGUGUGGAUUAGUUUGCAUUUCACAACUAAAGCUGGCAUGUCGUAGGAAUCUGAAAUAAAUUCAUAGGAGUCUCUUUCUGUGAGGGACUCACCCGCGUCAGAAUCUUAAAAAACCAUCAGACAACCUGGAGACUACCCUUGGCCGUUUAUGUCUGCAAGGAUUAUUACAUGCAAAAGAAGGAAUAUGGAAGGCGACGUCUAUCUAUUGAAAGGAUCCGUACAUUAUCAGCCAUGCAGAAGUGAAUAACUCGUACAAUUGUAGCCUGCAGUAUACGGCUGCAUGGUAGCUGAAACUGACAUGUUCACGGGGAUAGCGUCCCGACGGGGUUGAUAGUGGCCCUUUUUACUACGGUACAUCCGGCUAUAUUCCUUCAGUCCAUUUGUCUCGCUUAUAUAGUUACUACGUUUGUCGAGUGGAAUUAGGGCUUACUGUAAUCACCUUAUAUGUUGAAGUAUCUCUCUUGCCUGGG